UGAGGAAUAUUGGUCAAUGGGCGGGGAGCCUGACGCAGCGACGCCGCGUGAGGGAUGAAGGUCUUCGGAUCGUAAACCUCUGUCAGCAGGGAAGAACGGUCACUGUGCUAAUCAGCAGUGAAUUGACGGUACCUGCAAAGGAAGCACCGGCUAACUCCGUGCC
rnacentral:rRNA from 1 species